GUGCAUAUGAUGGAAAAAAUCUUAAUUUCCUGAGAUUUGUGAAGUCUUCAAAGGAACCACUGAUGCAC